rnacentral:lncRNA from 1 species
CGAGCAAUCCGUCAUUUAUGCUUCCCCUCCACUCCCAUCAGCAUCUCCUCCACCAACCUACUAUUGAUAUUAAUUAUUCAGCCAGUUUCUUCCAUUUCCAUGACUUCUGAUUCCUUUUUGUCCUCUUAUUUUUAGCAACUCCAUUUCAUUUGCCAAAAUUUGAUGUAUGGUUCCUGAAAUGACCGGGUUUACUUAUUAUGUGUUCAAUGUUAUUUCGUUUAAUAAUUUGUAUUAUUUAUUGUUUUAUUUAAGUAAGAAUUUGCCAAAAUUUGAUGUAUGGUUCCUGGAAUGACCGGGUUUACUUAUUAUGUGUUCAAUGUUAUUUCGUUUAAUAAUUUGUAUUAUUUAUUGUUUUAUUUAAGUAAGAUCCUCGAGAUCUCCAUCAAUUGUUCUCAUUAUAUCGAGAUUCUUUGCAUUCUGCUUUCUUUGUUCUGUCGUAUUCUUUGUCUAAAUAAUGC